GUCGGGUCUCACCACAAACAGAAUCUGCUGGUGCCUUCAUUUUGGGCUUUCCAGCCUCUGGAUUAUUUCUCACAGACCGAAGGCUACGUAUACUUGCUACCAAAGCCUAGACGGGCACAGACGAUGCCUUUACAAAAAGAGAGCAUCACGCGAGGCAAAACGGUGCUGGGGUCCUCUCGAUGGCCGCUGCAGUAACACGGUCAGGCAAGAAAAGAACAUGACAACUUACGGGCUUUCCGUAACUCUUCAUGGUCUGCAAAUCUGAGUCCCUUCGUUAGUGACAGCACAGAUUCACGGAUUCGAUACAACAUAAAUUAGUUUGUGCUUAGAGGCAACCAGGCAUACAUCUGACAUCAGCCUGCCUUCCUGACCCAACUCCCAGCAAAAUGUGCAUUAAAAAAGUUUUUUUUAAAUCUCACACAGAGAGUGAGAGAGAAUGAGCAGGGGAGAGGAGCAGAGGGAGGGAGAGAGUAUGAGCAGCGGAGAGGGGCAGAGGGAGGGAGUAUGAGCAGGGGAGAGGGGCAGAGGGAGGGAGAGACAAUCCCCAGGCGGCUCCACACUCAGCACAGAGCCCAACUCGGGGCUGCACCCCACAACCCCGGGAUCACCACCUGAGCCAAAAUCGAGAGUUGGAUGCUCAACCAAUCGAACCACCCAGGCGCCCCAAAAUGUGCACUUUUAUUAGCAGCCGCUGGACGAGUCUGGGGGGGGGGUGCUGGUGAUCGAGCGGGCAGAGGGGGCGAUCAGUGUCAAGGAACUACGUUGGGACACUCGCAUCCGUGCCGCAGACAGGCGGAUGUGGCCGGAAAAGUGCGAGGGCCUGGGCACGUCACCCUCGCAAAGAGAAGGAUCAUUUUCAGCAGAUGGACUGUCUCCUGCACCGUCUUCCCUGGGAGCACCCAUCACCCACACCGGCCGCACGAGAAUCCCAUGUAGCGGGCUCACCACUGCUUCAAAGCUUCUGUUGGCAUCAUCAGACCCAGACCCAGCCUCCUGCACCCCUGCCUGCCCGCGCUCUGGCGGUCCCCAUCGGCGGACAUCGGCUGGCCCCAUCCGCCUCGAUCGGCUAAGUCAAGAUCUCCAGAGAACGGACUCAGCUCUUUCAACACAAGAUCAGUAUUCCAGGUUGACUGGUCACACCUGUUUCUCUGCCAGCAACGUGACCCACACCCUUCCACUGGAGGUACUUCCUGAGGUGGAGGGAAAAGAUUCACUGCGGCGCUUGUACAGCAUCGAAAGCCUGGGAAGACCGCAAACGUCCACGGACAGAAGGCUGGUCGGGGCCUAAAAAGGAAGAGUAAAGAAAACCCCAGGUGAGUAGAGGGAAGGAAAUAAAGA